rnacentral:lncRNA from 1 species
CAGGAGGACGUUGGUUGCUCCCUGAAUUGUCAUGAGAGCCUUGUAGCUCUCGAGGUGAUCAAUUGGGUCAGUGGAACCAUCAUAGGGCUCCACAUGCGGCAUUUUGAACCAAGUCAGGAUCGGUUCAUUUAAAAUAAGUCGGGAGAGAGGCUCGGUGGUAUGGAAAUCAAAGUUGUUUGACAAUUUCUGACCAUCUAUCUGGAGCUGGACG